rnacentral:lncRNA from 1 species
CAACGGAUGUGGUCGUGUCGUCCAGGUGGGGGGAGCAGGCUUCCUCUACCUUGUCCGCUGGGGACAAGAAGGCAGAGGAGGAGAGAGAAGAAAAGGACUUGGGCCCCCCAUGGCUGCAGGAGGGUUGGAAGCCAGCCAGUUCCGAGGAGGCCGCAGUGACAGCAGGAGACAGUGGCGAGAGCUGAAGGUGUCUUGGAUCCUACUCUGGCCCCCUCUGAGACCAAGAGUUGCCUGGAGAUGGGACCCACGUGCCUGGACUGGCCCCCCAGCUGGGGACGCUUCUGCCGCUGAUACCAGCUUCAACUUCUUCAGCCCCUGUGGCGGGGCCUGGGCAAACCCAAGGGAGAUGGGAAGGCCCCUGGAUGGGGUGGCGGAGGUGGCCCCAGUGGUCUGCGCUGGGGGGGCUGCUGCUCCUGCCGUGACAGCUGCCAAGGUCUUGAAGCUGAGCUUUCCCUUACGGUUGUUGGCUUGGCACUGUCCGCAGCUAGGAGACUGAAUGCCAUUGGUAACAGAAGGAGCAGCAUCUGUAGCCCGACAGGGAGACACCCAGAAAUGAAGGGAAAGCAUGUGUUCUUGUGUAGCCUUGUCCAGGUCCUGAAUGGGGUGAGAGAGGUUCACGUCAUUCCAGAAAUAUUUUUAGUGUCCAGUCUCCAGGCACACUGAAACCAAACUUCUGGAUGGAGAGGAGAGGUUCCACAGACAAUUCUGAGAGAGAUAGAGACAGAGAGACAGAAAAACUGAGAGACUGAGACAGAAACAGAGACAGAGAGAUAAUAGAGGAUUGGGAGUGGGGAGUGUGAUAGAGGGGAACCAUAUGUUUUAAUUCAAAAUAAUCAGAAUUGGCUAUAACCUCUACUUUAGAUGGGUUGAGGAAAUAGUAAAUUAUCCUUCCACUUUUCCACCUCUUUCACCCCUCAAAGACCCAAGUUAACGGGACUUUUCUCUUUCUCUCUCCCAAUUUUUCAUUGCAUCUCUUUAAUGUCACAUUCUUCAUGCACAGGAAUUCUGGAAAAGUUUCAAGAUUUCCCUUGUGCUGAGAAGUGGCAUAAGUUUCUCUUCGAAAGUCAUCCAAUUCCUCUUAGGAACAGCUGAAGAGGAUGCAUUCUGGCAAUAUAAUUGUUAACAGGGGAAAGGAUCCUUUUCCACAUACCCCAAAGUUACCCUCUCUAACCUUCCCCCCUGAACUCCCAGUACUUUUUGGAAGGUCUCAUUUAGCAUCUUCUUAGAGCCAAUAAAAAGGACAAAGGUAUAUUUUUCA